GGGAGCAUCUUGAUAAUGUAACCGCAUUGUCUGUCAGCACAGGGACAGAAGCGGCAGGGUUUAUACUCCACUGUCACACUCAGCUGCGUGGCUUUCACAUACAGGUGGGGAGCACAGGGGCCCAGCGCUGCAGCCAGAGAGGUUCCUGACAACAGUGAUACUUCGUCACCAAGCUGUGGUAGAGUGACUCAGAGGAACACAACUGCAGACAUGGAGACAGGGUCAAAUAAGUGUCCCAGCCUCUCCCCUCAGAAGCAAGCUGUGAAGAACAGAUCCAUGUCAACUGGGGAAGUCCAGCGAGCCAAAAAGGCCUUUCACACGCCUCAGAUGUCUCUGCCAGGGAAGGCAGACCUGGAGAACCUGAAGGAAACUCCCGAGGAUUCAAACACACCGUCCUCAUCCUCAGAGGAGCUGAAAUGAGUGGGGGGGGGGGGGGUCAGAUCUUACCCCAGGACCACCAGUCCCACAAGGAGCCCCCGCACUUUCCACUGGUGGGGGAGGGAGUUCCUGGGAAGAUUGCCAGUUGGAUAACUGAAUAUUGAUAUUUGAAUAUGGCUGGCACCAUGCAUGUCUGCUUUCUUGCUGGAUGAAAAAGGAAACUUGUCUAUUUAGAACAGGGUUCCCACACAGUAACUCCCUUCCCCAAUGUUAGCGUUUCACAACUGUUUUCCUGUCACAGCAGUUUCCACAUUUACUUAAUAUUAUGGCAGACCACUCUCAAAAGCCAGUGACAUACAAUGAUGUAACACGUGACCUGAAUGUUAUUCUGGGGAUUGAAUUCAGCGAUAAUGUUUUUUAGUUAGCCCUCCUAUUAUGUUUGGGGUCAAUUUGACCCCAUUCAGUGUUUGACAUCUCUUAAAAACCAGCCUUUUUUUCAUCUUGAUACAAAACUUGAUAUAAAAUGUUCUAUUUUGGUGGGAUUAAAUGAAGAUAGUAAUGUUUUGUUUUCAGAAGUCCUGCACCAAUUUUGCAUGUGUUGUAUAGGCUAAGAUUGACCUUCUGUAACUGUAUAAAAUGUCUGAAAAUAUACAACCAUUCUUAUUGUUAUCUCAGAUUUCUUUGUGGAUAAUUCUGGUGGCACAGUCCCAUACAGAUGCCAAACUUUCACUUCCUGUACCUCAGGUUCUAAUGAGAUGCUUCUCACAGAUAUUUCAUAUUUAUGGAUAAAAGGCAAGUCAUAUGGGAGACAAAAAGAAGGCGACAAACAAAGUGUCAAAAAAUUUUCUUUUCUGAUUAUUUCAGCUGUUGGGGUCAAUUUGACCCCAAACAUAAAAGCAGUCUCUUAAACUCGUAACAUAAUAGGAGGGUUAAAUGCAUUUUGGCUUUUUUGAAUGGGAUUCAGUGUUUCCCACAGCAUUAUAGAAAACUAUGGUGAGGGGACUUCGAACCAUAUAGGGUAUACAUGUAUGUAGUAAUGUUAGUCAUUGUUGUUAACUUCGCCGACCAUUGUAGCAACUUUGUUCAUUUCAAUGUUAAUGUAAUGAGUAGAUGUAGACUUACCUCAGGAUAUAGGCUACUGUAUCAAACCUGUUCAUUCAUAACACAGUGCCAAUAUUGACAAUUUAACUCCUCCAAGUAAUCAACAUAACGGGAUGCUUUACCAAGAUACAGAGGGCUUUACCAACUUUAUUUACUUAAUGCUGAAAAUAAGCCAUUGUAAUCACAUUCAAGACGAUGUAGCCAGGUAAUAGGUAAUUAACUCAAACUGUCUUGCCUCCUAAAAAUAUGUUCCGUGUUGACGGCUUGCAGAAGCUCAUAUGCAGCACUGGAGCAUUCUGAAGAGACUACAGUCAGUGUCCAAUGCCUGCUCUCAUCACGUGCACAUGAAAAGCAAGGGAUGGAAGCACAUAUCAAUAUUUUAUGCUUAUUAUGAGAGUAACAUAAUAUUUUGACAUCAUUCUGAAAGAGUGGUGGGAUUAAUUAAACUGGCGGGCUGCUACAAUUGAGUUAAUUAAUGGGAAACACUGGGACCUUUACAUUACAUUUUUUUAAAAUUCA